rnacentral:sRNA from 1 species
AGAUGGGGAACACUACCUCGUGCUGCGUGUCGUCCAGUCCCAAGCUCCGGAGGAAUGCCCACUCCCGGCUGGAGUCCUACCGGCCAGACACGGACCUGAGCCGCGAGGACACGGGCUGCAACCUGCAGCACAUCAGCGACCGGGAGAACAUAGACGGUGACCCCAGUGGCUGAAAGCAGAGGAGAAAGUGUUUCAUCACGGGCCCUCUCCUUCUGAAUACUAUUUGAACAUGGAAUUCAAUCCUUCAGAUCAUCCUCGGGCCAGCACAAUAUUCCUCAGUAAAUCUCAGACAGACGUGAGAGAAAAACGCAAGAGUCUCUUCAUUAACCAUCAUCCUCCAGGACAAAUAGCAAGGAAAUACAGUUCCUGCUCCACCAUUUUCCUAGAUGAUAGCACAGUCAGUCAACCAAACCUCAAGUAUACAAUUAAAUGUGUCGCUCUUGCAAUAUAUUAUCACAUCAAAAACAGGGACCCAGAUGGAAGGAUGCUCUUAGAUAUUUUUGAUGAAAAUCUUCACCCUCUUUCGAAAUCCGAAGUGCCACCAGAUUAUGACAAACACAACCCAGAGCAGAAGCAGAUUUACCGGUUUGUUCGGACACUGUUCAGUGCUGCUCAGCUGACGGCUGAAUGUGCCAUCGUCACCCUGGUGUACCUUGAAAGACUUUUAACAUACGCAGAGAUAGAUAUCUGUCCGGCCAACUGGAAGCGGAUUGUUUUAGGGGCGAUCCUGCUGGCCUCCAAGGUGUGGGAUGACCAGGCUGUAUGGAAUGUGGAUUACUGCCAGAUCCUGAAAGACAUCACGGUGGAGGAC